AUGGCCCAUAAGCACCCUGGAGAAGGAGGGUUGUGUGGAGCCCAUCACAGCUGUGGUGCCUCCCUCAGGACCUCAGGACCCUCUGUGCACCUUGAAAAACUUUCAUUCUCAGGACUCAGGGAAAAACGGAGACUGCUCCUAAUGGUACCCGCUGCCUCAUGUCCUAAGUACACACAGCCCCUAACCCAGCCCACUGGUCGGAUCCAAACCAUGCUCCUCCAAGGGGUCCGGGACCACCUAGGGAAGGAGGUUACCCUGACGAGAGUGACGCAUCUUCGGAAGAGUCAGGAGUGGACCAGGAACUCUCAAGAGAUAAUGAGACUGGGUACCAGGAGGAUGGGAGCCCUUCUUUUCUUUCCAUUCCAUCUGCUUGUAACUGCUGGGGAAACCCUGGAGUCCCAGAAGGGACUCACUCUGAGGAAGGAGAUGGCUCUUCUAGCAACUUCUGCCACCAUUGCACCUCUCUAGCCUUGGGGGAAGAUAAAGAAUUAGAAGAAGAAUAUGAUGAUGAGGAACCUCUUAAAUUUCCCAGUGAUUUCUCACGUGUGUCCAGUGGGAAGAAACCCCCAUCCCAGAGGCAGAGACACUGUUUUUUGACCAAGGAGGAUACUCGGGAUAGUGGACGCAGAGAUCCCAGGUCCCCUGGUCUUCAUCCACUGGGCCGAAAAUGAAAUCAGGCAGAUAAGCACAGAGGUCUGGGACUGUGGAGAGUAGAGGAACUAUGUCAGCUUGGACAGGAGGGCUUCUGGUGGCUGAUUGAACUUCUGGUAUUGGUGGGAGAGUAUGUAGAAACUUGUGGCCAUCUCAUUUAUGCAUGCAGGCAGCUGAAAGGCAGUGAUCUGGACCUUUUUCGAGUUUGGGUGGGAGUCUGGGCAGGGAGAUUGGGGGGCUGGGUCCAGAUGAUGGCCCUGUUUCUAAGCCAGAGCUUUUACUGUGCAGCGGGGCUAUUCACCCGUUUUCUUAGGCUAGUGGGUGCUUUCCUACUUCUGGCUCUUGCCCUCUUUUUGGGUUGUCUACAGUUGGGCUGGCGGUUUUUGGUGGAACUGGGUGACCGUUUAGGAUGGAGGGAUAAGACCACCUGGAUAUUCUCAAAAUUCUUAUUAUAUGUGAAUUUAAUUAUCUAA